rnacentral:rRNA from 2 species
UGGGGAAUAUUGGGCAAUGGGCGCAAGCCUGACCCAGCAACGCCGCGUGAAGGAUGAAGGUCUUCGGAUUGUAAACUUUUGUCUUCAGGGACGAUAAUGACGGUAACUGAGGAGGAAGCCACGGCUAACUACGUGCCAGCAGCCGCGGGAAUACGUAGGUGGCAAGCGUUGGCCGGAAUUACUGGGUGUAAAGGGCGUGUAGGCGGGAAAGCAAGGCAGAUGUGAACUACCGGGGCUUAACUCCGGGGCUGCAUCUGAAACUGUUUUUCUUGAGUGUCGGAGAGGAAAGCGGAAUUCCUAGUGUAGCGGUGAAAUGCGUAGAUAUUAGGAGGAACACCAGUGGCGAAGGCGGCUUUCUGGACGACAACUGACGCUGAGGCGCGAAAGCGUGGGGAGCAAACAGG